rnacentral:rRNA from 1 species
UCGAACGGUAGCAGGAAGAAGCUUGCUGCUUUGCUGACGAGUGGCGGAGGGGGGAGUAAUGUCUGGGAAACUGCCUGAGGGAGGGGGAUAACUACUGGAAACGGUGGUUAAAACCGCAUAACGUCGCAAGACCAAAGAGGGGGACCUUCGGGCCUCUUGCCAUCAAAUGUGCCCAUAUGGGAUUAGCUUGUUGGUGAGGUAACGGCUCACCAAGGCGACGAUCCCUAGCUGGUCUGAGAGGAUGACCAGCCACACUGGAACUGAGACACGGUCCAGACUCCUACGGGAGGCAGCAGUGGGGAAUAUUGCACAAUGGGCGCAAGCCUGAUGCAGCCAUGCCGCGUGUAUGAAGAAGGCCUUCGGGUUGUAAAGUACUUUCAGCGGGGAGGAAGGUGUUGUGGUU